GCAAAUUUCGUGACGAAAAAUAUUUUUCAUUAAUAAUUAGUUAUUAUUUAAAUUGUUAAUCAAUAAUUUCAAAAAAAAAAAAUCAAUAUAAUCCAAUAAAUUUAAAAAUGAAAACAUCACAAUCCUCCUCAUUCUCUCAAUCGCGUUUUUCCUCCGUAAAUUCAUAAUGCAAAUUAUGCAAUAGCACACCUGCCCGAUU
rnacentral:lncRNA from 1 species